rnacentral:rRNA from 1 species
UUCUUGCGGAGUGGCGGUACCUAAUUAAGAAGCAUCGGCUAACUCCGUGCCGGCAGCCGAGGCAAUACGGAGGAUGCUAGCGUUAUCCGGAUUCACUGGGUUUAAAGGGUGCGUAGGGGGCCCUGUAAGUCAGUGGUGAAAUCCCGGAGCUUAACUUGGGAACUGCCAUUGAUACUGCUGGUCUUGAAUUUUGUGGAGGUAAGCGGAAUAUGUCAUGUAGCGGUGAAAUGCUUAGAUAUGAUAUAGAACACCGAUUGCGAAGGCAGCUUACUACGCAAAUAUUGACGCUGAGGCACGAAAGCGUGGGGAUCAAACAGGAUUAGAUACCCUGGUAGUCCACGCCCUAAACGAUGAUUACUCGAUGUUGGCGAUAUACAGUCUGGGGCUAAGCGAAAGCCUUAAGUAUUCCACCUGGGAAGUACCAACGCAAGGUUGAAACUCA